CCUACGGGAGGCAGCAGUAGGGAAUCUUCCACAAUGGGCGAAAGCCUGAAGCAGUAACGCCGCGUGGGUGAAGAAUGUCUUAGGAUCGUUAAACCCUGUUGUUAGAGAAGAAAGUGCGUGAGAGUGACUGUUCACGUUUCGACGGUAUCUAACCAGAAAGCCACGGCUAACUACGUGCCAGCCGCCGCGGUAAUACGUAGGUGGCAAGCGUUAUCCGGAUUUAUUGGGCGUAAAGGGAGCGCAGGCGGUCUUUUAAGUCUGAUGUGAAAGCCUUCGGCUUAACCGGAGUAGUGCAUUGGAAACUGGGAGCCUUGAGUGCAGAAGAGGAGAGUGGAACUCGAGGUGUAGCGGUGAAAUGCGUAGAUAUAGGGAAGAACACCAGUGGCGAAAGCGGCUCUCUGGUCUGUAACUGACGCUGAGGUUCGAAAGCGUGGGUAGCAAACAGGAUUAGAUACCCUUGUAGUC
rnacentral:rRNA from 1 species